GACGAACGCUGGCGGCGUGCCUAAUACAUGCAAGUUGAGCGAUGAAGAUUGGUGCUUGCACCAAUUUGAAGAGCAGCGAACGGGUGAGUAACGCGUGGGGAAUCUGCCUUUGAGCGGGGGACAACAUUUGGAAACGAAUGCUAAUACCGCAUAACAACUUUAAACAUAAGUUUUAAGUUUGAAAGAUGCAAUUGCAUCACUCAAAGAUGAUCCCGCGUUGUAUUAGCUAGUUGGUGAGGUAAAGGCUCACCAAGGCGAUGAUACAUAGCCGACCUGAGAGGGUGAUCGGACACAUUGGGACUGAGACACGGCCCAAACUCCUACGUGAGGCAGCAGUAGGGAAUCUUCGGCAAUGGACGAAAGUCUGACCGAGCAACGCCGAGUGAGUGAAGAAGGUUUUCGGAUCGUAAAACUCUGUUGGUAGAGAAGAACGUUGGUGAGAGUGGAAAGCUCAUCAAGUGACGGUAACUACCCAGAAAGGGACGGCUAACUACGUG
rnacentral:rRNA from 1 species